UACAGAGGGUGCGAGCGUUUGUCCGGAAUCACUGGGCGUAAAGGGCGCGUAGGUGGCGCUGCAAGUCGGUGGUGAAAGGCCUCGAUCGCUUAACGGCGAGUCGGACCAUCGAAACUGGCAGGGCUCGAGCACUGUAGGGCUAAUGGAAUUCCGGGUGUAGCGGUGGAAUGCGUAGAGAUCCGGAAGAACACCAGUGGCGAAGGCGGUUAGCUGGGCAGUUGCUGACACUGAUGCGCGACAGCGUGGGGAGCAAACAG
rnacentral:rRNA from 1 species